CAGGCUUCAUAAGCUGUGAUAAGACUAACAGGAAAGGGGGUAAAAAGUCAGUUUAUUUAGUGUGAAUGAGUGAGAGAGAGAUAGCUGGCAAUUAUAGGGUUAACUCCGCCGUACAGAGAGAGCAGCGCGUCAGGACGUCACGGAUCAAUUGCGUUGCAGUUGCGCACAGCGCUCUGGGAGAUAGUUAGAUCGGAACGAGAAGCUGCACCGUCCGGCUGCACGAGGAAAGCUCUGCCUGAGAAAAAUAUCCAGAAGUGGUUAAAACAGAGUGAAAUAGACGGAAUUUACCGCGAGUCGAACCCACAGAGUUCAUGGUUGAUGAUACAAGUUCGGCGGUCAGGUUUUUUGUGGAGAUUAGAUUCGGUGACAUUGAUGUUGAGAGAGAAGACGUCAGCGACACCAGUAGUCGACUAUAGAGAGAGGAUACCAUUACCAGCACUGGAUAGCCACCAGGCGGCUUCCAGACACCAGUUGGAUCAUCGGAUCCGAAGAACCAGAUGGCGAGCCAGAACUGAGGAAUGCGGCAGCACAACUGAACUUACCUCCAAAACCUGCGGUGUGGUAGGACAGUGAAAACACACAGAUUAAAGGGCCCCAACGAAAUGAAAACACUGAGCUCAUAACAAAGAAAGAAAAGACAAUACAAACUGAACACAACACUAUUUUUUAUUUUCUUUUGUUUUGCGCGCUGUUUGUUAUUUUUCAUAUUGCAUUAAAAAUUGUUGUCAUAGGUUCUCAUUGUUGAUGACUAACAAUACAAAAUUGAAAAUUAA